AUGGCAGGAAGCCGAGAGAAGAAUGGUUUGGAGUGGCCUGGCCCUGAGCAGGUGCAAGUGCUGUUGGCUUCCUGCAAAACUGAGCUACAUCCAAAGAGCUGAUUUUUCUAGAGGCUGUUAGAAGAUGCCGUAACCCUCCUCAACUUAGCAGAUCACAGCGGUGGGACUGGAGCUCCUCUGGAUACUGUGGUAUCGUAUGGACGGACACAGGAGCCUGGCAUCUCUGCUGCCUUGUGAUAGUGGCCUCAGAGCUGUGCUGGAGACCAGCCAUGCAAGGCUCAUGAAUUGUUCCCUUCGUUUACGGUGCUGUGAAUGAACGCCCUGGCCACAAGGAUGACAUCACGUUUACUUUGAUCUAAGUCAUUUCCUAAUGGUGCCUAACUGGAAGCUGAGCUCUUACAUGAACCUGGCCCUGACUGUGAGUAUCGAGCCUUUCUGAAAAUCCUGACUCUAUUUUGUAUUCACAAGGACUAUGCAAAGCCUCUUCUUGGCGUGGGGACAGAUGCAAG
rnacentral:lncRNA from 1 species